rnacentral:snoRNA from 1 species
AGUUGAUGAUGACAAAUCUAAAGGCUUGUUUCUCAAAACAUUCGCAGUGGCCGCCUAAGAGCUUUCGCCUUCGCCGGGCUUGAGAGCUAGUGCUGCUUUUAUCCUUCCUUGGAUGUCUGAAACA